UCAAGCUAUGAAGAGCAUAGGGUGAAUGCCUUGGCAUCAGGAGCCGACGAAGGACGUGACAAGCUGCGAUAAGCUGCGGGGAGCUGCAAAUAAGCUUCGAUCCGCAGAUUUCCGAAUUGGGAAACCACGCUGGUGAAGAGCCAGUGAUCGUGCAAUGAAUCCAUAGUUGUACGAGGGGAACCCCCUGAACUGAAACAUCUAAGUAGGGGGAGGAAGAGAAAUCAAACGAGAUUCCGUAAGUAGUGGCGAGCGAAAGCGGAAGAGGCCAAACCGGAGGUAGCAAUACCGCCGGGGUAAGGACUGCAUCAGUGCAUUGAGGUACCGUAACAGAACAGCAUGGGAAGGCUGACCAUAGAAGGUGAGAGUCCUGUAGGUGAAACGGGAAGACAGCACGCAGUAUCCGGAGUAUCAGCGGACACGUGGAAUCCGCUGAGAAGACGGGGGGACCACCCUCCAAGCCUAAAUACUACCUGAUGACCGAUAGAGGAGCAGUACUGUGAAGGAAAGGUGAAAAGAACCCCGGGAGGGGAGUGAAAGAGAACCUGAAACCCUGUGUUUACAAGCACACAGAGCACGUUAAGGUGCGAUGUGGUACUUUUUGUAGAACGGUCCGGCGAGUUUAUGUAUGCAGCGAGGUUAAGCACUGCAGGUGCGCAGCCGAAGGGAAACCGAGUGUGAAGAGCGCGAGAAGUUGCAUGUAUAAGACCCGAAACCGGGUGACCUAUCCAUGAGCAGGUUGAAGGUGGGGUAAAGCCCACUGGAGGACCGAACCGACCCCCGUUGAAAAGUUGGCGGAUGACUUGUGGAUAGCGGAGAAAUUCCAAUCGAACCCGGAGAUAGCUGGUUCUCCCCGAAAUAGCUUUAGGGCUAGCCUUGUAUAUAUUUAUCGGGGGUAAAGCACUGAAUAGCCUAGGGGUCGAGAGAUUACCGAAGCUUAUCAAACUAAGAAUACCGAAUAAAUGAGUACAGGAGUCAGACUACGUGAGAUAAGUCUCGUGGUCAAAAGGGAAACAGCCCAGAUCUACAGCUAAGGUCCCAAAUGUAUACUAAGUGGAGAAGGAUGUGACGAUGCUAAGACAACUAGGAUGUUGGCUUAGAAGCAGCCACUCAUUCAAAGAGUGCGUAAUAGCUCACUAGUCGAGUGACGUUGCGCCGAAGAUUUAACGGGGCUCAAGUAUACAACCGAAGCUUAGGCAGUUGCAAAACUGGGUAGGGGAGCGUUCUAUACGGGGUGAAGUCAGAGCGAAAGCACUGGUGGACUGUAUAGAAGUGAGAAUGCCGGAAUGAGUAGCGAGAAUUGCGUGAGAAUCGUAAUGGCCGAAAAUCUGAGGUUUCUUGGGGUAGGUUCGUCCGCCCAAGGUAAGCCGGGAGCUAAGGCGAGGCCGAAAGGCGUAGUCGAUGCACAUACGGUGGAGAUUCCGUAGCCGCUAAAAGUUUAAGUAUACUGACACAUGAGCGUACCAUGAGCCGGGCGUUGGUUGACCCGGUCGAAAGGGACUGAAAUUUAAGUAAGGAAGCAUGGGAAAGUCGUGGCGAGAAAAGGUAUAUGUAUACGAAAGGCGCCCGUACCGCAAACCGACACAGGUAGAUGAGGAGAGAAUCCUAAGGCCAUCGGGAGAAGGGUUGUUAAGGAACUCGGCAUAUUGACCCCGUAACUUCGGGAGAAGGGGUGCCUGCGCAAGCAGGCCGCAGUGAAAAGGCCCAGGCAACUGUUUACCAAAAACACAGGUCUCUGCAAAACCGAAAGGUGAAGUAUAGGGGCUGACGCCUGCCCGGUGCUGGAAGGUCAAGGGGAAGUGUAAGAGCAAUCGAAGCACAGAACUUAAGCCCCAGUAAACGGCGGCCGUAACUAUAACGGUCCUAAGGUAGCGAAAUUCCUUGUCAGGUAAGUUCUGACCCGCACGAAUGGCGUAACGA
rnacentral:rRNA from 1 species